rnacentral:tRNA from 1 species
GUCUCUGUGGCGCAAUCGGUUAGCAUGUUUGGCUGUUAACUUAAAGGUUUGGUGGUUCAAGCCCACCAAGGGACA